GGGCACAUGGUGUAGUUGGUUAUCACAUCCGCUUAGCAUUUGCUGGUUCUGCGGGGGGUGCUGGGUUCAAUUCCCAGUGUGUCCA